rnacentral:rRNA from 1 species
UACGUAGGGUGCAAGCGUUGUCCGGAAUUAUUGGGCGUAAAGAGCUCGUAGGCGGUUUGGUAAGUCUGGUGUGAAAUCUCCACGCUCAACGUGGAGGGGCCACCCGAUACUGCCAUGACUGGAGUCCGGUAGAGGAGUGUGGAAUUCCCGGUGUAGCGGUGAAAUGCGCAGAUAUCGGGAGGAACACCCGUAGCGAAGGCGGCACUCUGGGCCGGUACUGACGCUGAGACGCGAAAGCGUGGGGAGCGAACAGGG